AUCCAGCUGAAGAGUCCUAAAUAGGUCGAAACGCUCGUCCUGGAU
rfam:Schistosoma mattheei strain Denwood, Zambia genome assembly, scaffold: SMTD_scaffold0001059